rnacentral:lncRNA from 1 species
UGACUAUAGUAAUCCUGCUUAUGGAAUCAACACUAUAAUGACACAAAGUAUCAAUGAAGAAUUAUUAGUGUAUGAUGAACCAAGAACAAUGAAUAAUGAACAAGUGGUUAUUGUAAUGCCAGCAGAUAAUGAAGCAUAUACACAACAGAAAGAAGAAGAAGAAGAGUACAUCUAAUAUAAUGGACAUUUAACAUACAUUAAUGCUCAUAGAGCACAUGCACACAAUAAUGAG